rnacentral:rRNA from 1 species
UAGGGAAUCUUCCACAAUGGACGCAAGUCUGAUGGAGCAACGCCGCGUGAGUGAAGAAGGUCUUCGGAUCGUAAAACUCUGUUGUUAGAGAAGAACACGAGUGAGAGUAACUGUUCAUUCGAUGACGGUAUCUAACCAGCGAGUCACGGCUAACUACGUGCCCG